CGGCGGGCCUGUUCCGUCACCCCGUUCCCCUUCCCCCACGAACAAAACCCCGGCGCACGAUGCGCCAAGGAAUCGCAACGAGAAAAGGAACGAGCACCCGUGGCRCGCCGGGAACGGAAUGCGCACGGGCGGCCUCGUAUUCUUUGAAAACAAAACGACUCUCGGCAACGGAUAUCUCGGCUCUCGCAUCGAUGAAGAACGUAGCGAAAUGCGAUACUUGGUGUGAAUUGCAGAAUCCCGUGAACCAUCGAGUCUUUGAACGCAAGUUGCGCCCGAAGCCUUCGGGCCGAGGGCACGUCUGCCUGGGUGUCAUGCACCGUCGCCCCCCAUCCCCACUCCCCCGAGGGGAGUCGGGAAGCCCGGGGCGGACAAUGGCCUCCCGUGCGCUCUCGCUCGCGGUUGGCCUAAAUCCGAGUUGUUGGCGGCGAGCGCCACGGCAAGCGGUGGUUGGAAAGACCCUCUGAAGUGUCG
rnacentral:rRNA from 1 species